UAUAAAUAUCUCUCUCUCUCUGAGAAAUCACAACAACAGCGACAUCAGUCAAUGGUAUACAAUCAUCGUCUUCACCAUCACGUAAGUAAGAUUAAACGUACGAUCACCGUAUCUUCUCUUCUAACUCUCAAAAUCGGAGGACUUUGUUUGUUUUUUUCCAUGGCGUUUCAUCUGAUUUGACUGACGAAGACCAAAGUAAAAAAAGGUCGGUCGGGGAGAUGUUUCGAUUAAAUAUUUGGGGAUUUAGGAUCAGAGAUGGGUUUGAAGAUUGAUGAAGAAGACUCGGACUACUCAAGGAAUUUCAUCUUUGCUUAAACAAUAUGACAUCUUCAAUUGUUUUAACGAAAGAGAUGUCGUUUUGGUGUCUUUGCAGGUGAGGAGGACUUUGUUUGUUUCCAUGAUGUUUCUUCUACUCUCAUUUGAUUUGACGGACAAAUAAUAAAGACCCGGUGAGAUGGUUUGGAGAAUAAUGUUUCAUAACAGAAACUUGGCCGGCGUGCGUGCUCACAGAGUAACAAGAUGAAACUGAUUCUAUAGUGAUUGAUGCUCUUUUACUUUAUACAAUACGUCUUCCUCCUUUUCCACUUCAAAUUUCUACAUCCAUAAGUGUCGUUUUGGUGUCUUUGCAGGUGAGGAUCUGAGGAGGACUUUGUUUGUUUCCAUGCUGUCUCUUCUACUCUCAUCUGAUUUGACGACGAAGUAAUAAAGAUCAGAGAUGGUAUGAAGAAUGAUGAGGAUCGGUGGAGGACUUUGUGUGUUUCCAUGGUGUUUCUUCUACUCUCAUCUGAUUUGACGGCCAAGUAAUAAAGACCGGUGAGAUGGUUUGGAGGAUAAUGUUCCAUUACAAAAACUUGAUCGCCGUCGUGCUCACAGUGUAACAAGAUGAAACUGAUUCUAUAGUGAUUGAUGCUCUUUGAUUCUACAAAGUGUUGCGUAGCUUCUCCAGGUGGAGCUAUAAUGGAAAAAAUGCCAAAUCUUUUUUUGUUUGUUUUAUAACUUCUGCUGGUCCAAAGUCUCUUUCUAAUGUCAGCAACUCGGCAUGUUUUAUUUUUUUCCUCUACGCUCCAAAUUCCCCUUCUUUUAAAGCUAAAGGGGUCAUUAUUAUUUCUAAGUUCCUCUGGUCUGGCUCAUAAAAAAAAAAUGACCAAAAAUUAAGUUUGCCA